rnacentral:rRNA from 1 species
GACGAACGCUGGCGGCGUGCUUAACACAUGCAAGUCGAACGGAAAGGCCCUUCGGGCUCCUCGAGUGGCGAACGGGUGAGUAACACGUGGGUGAUCUGCCCUGCACUAUGGGAUAAGCCUGGGAAACUGGGUCUAAUACCGAAUAGGACCACGCGCUUCAUGGUGUGUGGUGGAAAGCUUUUGCGGUGUGGGAUGGGCCCGCGGCCUAUCAGCUUGUUGGUGGGGUAAUGGCCUACCAAGGCGACGACGGGUAGCCGGCCUGAGAGGGUGACCGGCCACACUGGGACUGAGAUACGGCCCAGACUCCUACGGGAGGCAGCAGUGGGGAAUAUUGCACAAUGGGCGCAAGCCUGAUGCAGCGACGCCGCGUGAGGGAUGACGGCCUUCGGGUUGUAAACCUCUUUCAAUAGGGACGAAGCGCAAGUGACGGUACCUAUAGAAGAAGCACCGGCCAACUACGUG